rnacentral:pre_miRNA from 1 species
UAAAACUUGGAAACUACCGUUGGAUCAAGAAAUAGACGUCCGAGAUUCGUCCACGUCACUGUGAGUUAAAAUUUAACUUGCAUAUUCACUCGUGAGUUAAAAUUUUAACUCAUGGUGACGUGGAUGAAUCUGAGACGUCCAUUUCUCGAUCCAAUGCUAGUUUUUAAGUUA